CCCUUUUUAACCCUUUUGCUCCCCUCGCCCUAGAUCUAGACUAAACAAAAAAGCAAAAAACACCUUCAGAAAAUCGGAAAUAGUAAAGGAACUCUUCGGUUCCGACUUCUCCGACUCACAAAAGGUACCAAAAAUUUUAUUUCUUUUGAAUGUAUAUAUAUAUGUAUGAGUGCUAUAUUCAAAAAUAAAUUUGCAAAGGAAAUGAAAAACCGAACGAAAGACCACCUUUUUUUUUUCUUUUGAAUCUGUUUUUGUUGUUUUUUUUAUUAAUCCUCAAUCUCUGCUUCUACAACCUAUUUUUUUUGGCUUUAUAGCCGAUUUUACAAUCUUUCUUGCUGCUGUUCAUGCUACUCUAUUCUGCUAUGCUAUUGUUUCCUUUUCUUUUGUUUCUUUGCUGUCAACUUUUUACUUUUCUAUCCUUUUUUUCGCUGUUUUUUCCUUUUUUUUUUGUUUGCGUGUUGAUUUAGCCUUGGCAAGUGUCAGAGGAGCACCAGAGGCGUAUGAGGCCAGUGAUGGCAGUGGAGGCGCAUACGGGGAGGGCUGAAGUGACCUGGUGCGGCGCCUAGGGUUUUCCCUUCCCUUCUUUUGCUGAAAAAUAUUUAGUGGGCUAGGGUUGAUUUAGGUAGUGGGCUGAUGUGGUUUUAAUUUUUUUUUGAGCUAUGGACUGUUAAAACUUUGGGCCUAUUGUAAAAACUUGGACUGAUAAAUUUCAUUAAAAGCCCGGGUAAAAUUGGGCUAUUACACCAAUAAAGGCCCAUUUCCAAAAUUAUUUAUGGAAAUAGGUUGCUUCUAAAAAUAAUUAUAGGUAUAGAUUGAAAAUCCAAAAAUGCACUGACAAGGACACGUUUUUCCUUGUGUCAAGCAAAAGCACGCUGACAUGGAUGCAAUUUUUUGAAAAUUUAUGAGAACAAGUCAAUAUAAAGACCCAAAGUGGCAACACUAUUUUUUUGUGCCAUCAAUUAAUGUGGAAAUAAAACUUACAAAACAUAUCUUUACGUAGACCCAAAGUCUUAUUUCCCUUAUUUUCUUAAGCAAUGUGUAAUGUAAGAUAUGUGUUUAUAUAGAUUCAUGAAUAAGAUUGCAACUUGUUCUUACA
rnacentral:lncRNA from 1 species